AGUCUAGCACGUGGGCGAGUCACUGGGACCGCUCGAAACCCAAAGGCGAAGUUAAUGCGAAGGUCCGCCUCGCGCGCGACCGAGGGAGGAUGGGUGCGACCGCGGUCGCGCCCCGCACUCCCGGGGCGUCCCGUGCUCAUUGCGAGCUGGGGCGCACCCAGAGCCUACGCGCUAGGACCCGAAAGAUGGUGAACUAUGCCUGGUCAGGACGAAGUCAGGGGAAACCCUGAUGGAGGUCCGCAGCGAUUCUGACGUGCAAAUCGAUCGUCGGAGCUGGGUAUAGGGGCGAAAGACUAAUCGAACUAUCUAGUAGCUGGUUCCCUCCGAAGUUUCCCUCAGGAUAGCUGGCGCUCGUCGCCGACGAGUCUCAUCCGGUAAAGCGAAUGAUUAGAGGCAUCGGGGCCGAAACGGCCUCGACCUAUUCUCAAACUUUAAAUGGGUGAGAUCUCCGGCCCGCCUGAAAACGGGGCCGCGAGAUCGGAUCAGAGUGCCAAGUGGGCCAUUUUUGGUAAGCAGAACUGGCGCUGUGGGAUGAACCAAACGCCGGGUUAAAGCGCCCAAGUCGACGCUCAUGGGACACCAUGAAAGGCGUUGGUAACUUAUGACAGCAGGGCGGUGGCCAUGGAAGUCGGAAUCCGCCAAGGAGUGUGUAACAACUCACCUGCCGAAGUUACUAGCCCUGAAAAUGGAUGGCGCUGAAGCGUCGCGCUCAUACCCGGCCGUCAGCGGCACGUGCGGUCGCCCCUCGCGGGCGGCCAUGAAGCCCUGACGAGUAGGAGGGUCGCGGCGGUGUGCGCAGAAGGGCCGACCGCGAGGUCGUCCGGAGCCGCCGUCGGCGCAGAUCUUGGUGGUAGUAGCAAAUACUCCAGCGAGGCCCUGGAGGACUGACGUGGAGAAGGGUUUCGUGUGAACAGCCGUUGCACACGAGUCAGUCGAUCCUAAGCCCUAGGCGAAAGCCGAUGUUGAUGUGGCGCCGUACACUCAGGUACGCGCCCGUCGGGCGAAAGGGAAUCCGGUUCCUAUUCCGGAACCCGGCAGCGGAACCGCAACCAAAUCGGGCCCUCGCAAGAGAGUUCGUCGGGGUAACCCAACAGGACCCGGAGACGCCGUCGGGAGGUGCGGGAAGAGUUUUCUUUUCUGCAUGAGCGUUCGAGUUCCAUGGAAUCCUCCAGCAGGGAGAUAUGGUUUGGAACGCGAAGAGCACCGCAGUUGCGGCGGUGUCCGCACCUUCCCCUCGGACCUUGAAAAUCCGGGAGAGGGCCACGUGGAGGCGUCGCGCCGGCUCGUACCCAUAUCCGCAGCAGGUCUCCAAGGU
rnacentral:rRNA from 1 species